rnacentral:rRNA from 1 species
GACGAACGCUGGCGGCGUGCUUAACACAUGCAAGUCGAACGGAAAGGCCCUGCUUUUGUGGGGUGCUCGAGUGGCGAACGGGUGAGUAACACGUGAGUAACCUGCCCUUGACUUUGGGAUAACUUCAGGAAACUGGGGCUAAUACCGGAUAGGAGCUCCUGCUGCAUGGUGGGGGUUGGAAAGUUUCGGCGGUUGGGGAUGGACUCGCGGCUUAUCAGCUUGUUGGUGGGGUAGUGGCUUACCAAGGCUUUGACGGGUAGCCGGCCUGAGAGGGUGACCGGCCACAUUGGGACUGAGAUACGGCCCAGACUCCUACGGGAGGCAGCAGUCGAGAAUAUUGCACAAUGGGCGGAAGCCUGAUGCAGCAACGCCGCGUGCGGGAUGACGGCCUUCGGGUUGUAAACCGCUUUCGCCUGUGACGAAGCGUGAGUGACGGUAAUGGGUAAAGAAGCACCGGCUAACUACGUG